rnacentral:rRNA from 1 species
UACGUAGGUGGCAAGCGUUGUCCGGAUUUACUGGGCGUAAAGGGCGUGCAGGCGGUCUGUUAAGUGCAGGGUGAAAGCUCCCGGCUCAACUGGGAGAGGUCCUUGCAUACUGGCGGACUUGAGGGGGGUAGAGGAAAGUGGAAUUCCCGGUGUAGUGGUGAUAUGCGUAGAUAUCGAGAGGAACACCUGCGGCGAAGGCGGGUUGCUGGGCCGACACUGACGCUGAUGCGCGAAAGCCAGGGGAGCGAACGGG